GGAAUAUGUCAGACUGACUGUAAAAUUCCAGCAGGAAUUGAUUCUCCUCUCCCCCCUUUCUCCCUGCACUGCUGGACAAAGUGCAGGACUGGAAAAUGAGGCACAAAUUCUGCAACCCUGCCCCUGAUGGGACCGUGGCCGAGCAGGUCACUGUGGGGAAGGAGCUGCAAGUUCAGCCAGCAGAGGGUUUUGCUGAUUCAGGGAUUUUCUGGUGGGAAUGUUGCAUUGGAGGGGAGGUCAGAUGGCAGAGAGCUCAUCUGAAAUGUGGUGAAAAGAAACUUCUAAUUGGGUGACUCCCAUGGGGCAUCAGCUGGGAAUGUGAGGCAAACCCUCAGAGGGACAAGAAUUGGGAAAGGAGUGGAGAAAGAAGGGAAAUGUUUCUGCCCCCAGGGCUUUGAGGAUUCCAUUGCUUGCACCUCGAGGUACAGAGAAUAACUCAGUGCCACUGCCUGGGGUUUGCAAGGCUGAAGGAAAAGGCUCUGUGUGGGCCAAACCUGAUAUUCACCUGAUUUUGGACAGGUUUUCCUGAUUCCCAGUGGUUAAAAAUUAGCAGAACAAAAAGUGAAUUGUGGAAGAGCCCGGACAUGCAGGCAAACCAAGAAAUUUAAUUUGAGGUUAAUUUGAGUGUAAAACCACAAGAUUGAGUGGAAACUGAAAUCAAGGAAGGAGCAUCCUCUAAUUCAAUAAAAAUGGCCCCUGAUGAAAAAUCAUACCUGCAGCUCCAGCAGCAGAGAAUUCCAUCCAGUGCUGAUAAUUUAAUAACCACAGAAAAUCUGUGCCACAACUCUUACAAAGGACAAGAGUUAACCCUGGGGGGGAAAUAAGCAGUGGGUGGGGGGUAAAGAUUGAGAAACUGGAGCCUGACAGCUCCAAAAGGAACUGACAGAUCCAAAGCCACACCGAGCCCAGGGCGACCAUGGGGACAGCAGCAGGGCUGCCCUAAGGAAUCAUCCCAGGCAACCCCAAAAGGAGCACACACCCCCCAGGGAUGUGGCCACGAGGCUGCAGCAGGUUUUAACUUCAUUUUCUCUUAUUUUAAAAGUUCUCUCUGCCCAUUUUCCCAGGGUUUCCAAUCCCCCAUCCCUCCCAGGAAAGCUCUGUUCUCCCCAGAGCUGUCACUCGACGUUUCCUGAGUUUCAAUAUGGGCCUUUCAGGAGAGCUCUCUCUGCUCUAAAAGCUCCCUGAAGGUGGUGAUUUCCUGCCAGGGAAAUGCCAGAGUGGGGUUUUAUGUAACAGCCCCUGCUGGGGUGACUUAUCAGCAAAUAAAGGCAACAGGGAUUUGAUAAGGAUCCGUGUGGGGCUGCUCUGCAGAGCAGCAGCAAAACCUCUCACACCCAGGGAGCUAAUGGAAGGUUUGCUCCCAAAAUACCCCCAGAUGGAAGGUUUGCUCCCAAAAUACCCCCAGAUGGAAGGUUUGCUCCCAAAAUACCCCCAAAUGGAAGGUUUGCUCCCAAAAUACCCCCAAAUGGACAUGGACCAAGCUGAGAGGGCCCUGCUGAGCCCAGGCACAUUCUGGGAGCUCAGAAGUCCCUGCUGGAGAGCGGAGUUGGGAGGGAACAGUGCUGACACCAAGAGGGGAAUGAAACCAGGGCCGGGAUCACCUGGGUCUGCCAGGGCCUGAAUCACCUGGGUCUGCCAGGGCUGGGAUCACCUGGGUCUGCCAGGGCCGGGAUCACCUGGGUCUGCCAGGGCCCUGGGAUCACCUGGGUCUGCCAGGGCUGGGAUCACCUGGGUCUGCCAGGGCCCUGGGAUCACCUGGGUCUGCCAGGGCCCUGGGAUCACCUGGGUCCGCCUCCCCUGAGCUCGGAGCCUGCAGGCACAGGGGGCUGUUGCCAUGGGAAACACUUCAGCAGAGCCAGGCACUGUUCUCCAGGACCACCAGCCCCCACCACAAUGGUACAGAAUGUAUUUUGCUACCAAAAUUAAUCCCUUCAGCUUCUCUGUCUCUUUGAAAGCUCAGCUCGGGUGGUGUCACACACAGAUUGCAGAGAGCAAAACCUCUCAGAAGGGGGGGAAAAGCAUAAAAAGCAUUAUUUUCCUGUUCCAGGGCAGGCUGUUCUGUCAAUUAACAAUUUACAUCUUGGUCACUUGGAGAAACUCCUGGUCUGGGGAAUCAGGAGCUUCAACUUCACCAAAAAUCUCCUUUUCAUGGCAAAGGAGCCCGCAGGAGCUGAGUCCUGUCCUUCAGCAAACCAGAACAGCCCAAGAAGGCAGGUGAGGAGCUCUGAACACCUGUAAGGGCACAAUCCUCCUCUCAGGAACCUCCUGGAGCUGGAAGAUGAGCCCAGCAUCCCCACCAGUUCCAGCUUCCCAUCAAACUGGGCGAGCUGUUCCCACAGCAGGGCUCUUCAGGCUGAACCCAGAGCUCAGGAAUUCCCUUGCCCCGGACUCCCAGCCCUGGGUGGGGUCAGAGAAGAACAAGCCCGCAGAAAAAGUGGCUUUAACUCCCCCUUCCCCGCGAGCCAAAGGGGGAGAACAUCGUCAUUAAGGCAGCAAAUUAACAGCAAAUUAUCAGCCGAGCCUCGUUAGCCCUGCUGGCGUCACCGGAGGGGCUGGUGGAGGGAUAAUUAAUUAUUCCCACUAAUCAGGGCCUGCCAGCAGGAGCUGGGGCAGGGGCAGGGCAGGGCUGCGGUUCCCCUUUCCCUGCAGCGUUUCCUUGGAGCCGUUGCCAUGGCAACACAUCUGUCUGGGCCAUCCCAAGUUUCAGGUAAUCCAGCUCAGGAAGGUUCUGAAGGGCUUUAACCCUUCCCCUUCCCCUCGGGUUUGGUCACAGAACUCUCACAGGUGCUGGUGGAAAAGGAACUGGGGCCUGAUUUCCCCUGCCAAGGGAUCCACCAGCUCUGGAUGCAGCAAGGUCAAAAAACUACCACAAAAAACACCACAAAAACACCACAAAAACAUCAUAAAAACACCACAAAAACACCACAAAAACCACCACAAAAAACACCACAAAAACCACCACAAAAACACCACAAAAAACACCACAAAAACACCACAAAAAACACCACAAAAACAUCAUAAAAACACCACAAAAACACUACAAAAAACACCACAAAAACCACCACAAAAAACACCACAAAAACACCACAAAAAACACCACAGAAAACACCACAAAAAACCACCACAAAACCACCCAGAAAACCCCAAACCCCAGCAGCUCUGGCCCAGCAGGAAUUGCCCAAAGCCUGAGUUCCAAAGCAGCCCCUGAGAGGGGCCUGUCCUGCUCUGAGCCCCUCAGGAAGGGCCCCGGAGCUCAGCCCUCACUGCCCCCCACCACAAUUCCCAUUGCCAGCCCCAAAUCACCCCUGGCCAGCAGACACAGAUCCCAGCUGGGCCAAGCUCCCUCAAAAAGAAGCAAAACCUUGACCUCCUUUGGGACCUCUGCCUUCAACCCUUCCCAGCUCAACCCUCCACCUCUGCCUCCAAAGAAACUCCUGCCCCCAACCACUCCAGCUCUCCUGAAUGUUUAUUGGAAAUAAUCCCAUCUUUGGAGAGAGGCCAGAGCUUCAGGAAGAUCAGCUGUUUCUCAGUUCUUGGACCUAAUUUAUCUUAAAUAUUGACAAUAAUGACAACAACUGGUGCAUUUCAUAUUCCACAGGGCAAGAUGCACUGGAAAAGCAAAUACUCAAUGCCAUUCACUUCAUUCCAGCAGGUGAAACACCAGGAAUUUUGGGGGAAGGCUCAGGAAAGUCACUCUGCUCCCUGAGCUCCAAGAAGCCCCAGUAAUUCCAUCCUGACCUGCAGAAUUGAAUCAAGAUAAACCCAGAGCAGCAGCAGCAGGAAAACAAGGGUGCAGAAGCAGCUCAUGCCAGGGCCACCCCUGGCUCAGAACUGGGGGCUGGCUGAGAGGAGCAGGGUGGAAGCAGAACCCUCCAUUUCUGGUUUGUUUGGAACACGUUGCCUGGAGCCCUGGCACGACACAGCCACAUUUUUCCCUUUCCCUGGGGGAUUUGUCCCAGAAUACCAGCCUUUAAAAGGGCUGAUUUAUUUUUUUAUCAACAGUUCUUAGAAGCCACAAUGGCAUUUCUAAUUGGUUUGGUGGCUUUUUUUUUUUUUUUUUCUCCAAAAGAAUUAAUUGCAAACUGCCCAAAAAUAACCUGGAGAGACUCAGAGGGGAAGGCAAGCUCAGCUCCUGAGUUGUUCACUGGAGGAUGGAGGAAACCUUUCCACACCCAGAGACCUCCUGAAGAGGCUCAAAAAGAGAAAUAAAAGAGGACAAAGGGGGAACAGCCACACAUUUGAGCUGAUAACCAAAAGGAGCUGAGAUUGGGAGCAACCCUCCCCUCUGAAAUCAGGGUUUAAAACCACCUCACAGGGAAGGAUUUCUCCCCAGUACCCAACCUAAACUUCUCCUCUUUCCCUCAGAAAGGUCCUCACCAUGUUCUAAUUCAGUCCAAUCUGGGCUUGAACCCGAGAGGUUGAGAGAGACCAAACCCAUUCCUACUCCCACAGGAGAGGCAAAACAACAGCCUGGCUUUGGGGCUUGAUUCCCCUCCCUCCCCUGUGAGGGUUCAAACAGUGACUGAAAAGGUUCCAUGGCUUCCCCCCCAGAUCCCAGGAUUCUUGUCAAGGCUCCCCAGGAUUUAUUCUGGUCGCACAGAGCUGCAAAAAAUGCCCAAAUUCACCCCCCUUCCCAAGCACAGCCCCUUCCUGGAGGAGCAGGAGGGCCCUGCCUGGGGACAGCUGAGGGGAAAAGCAGAUUUGGGGGGCUGGAACACAGCUCUGGAUCAUCUGACAGGCCCAGCUCAGAGCUGCUGCUCCUGCAAAUCAUUGAUGCAGCACAGCACACCGGAGCCCAGGUGACAUUUCAGAGGCAGCCCUGCCAACCCUGAUGCUGUUGGUGAGCUCCCUGAAAUCUUCCUUUCCCUUUUCUUUAAACAUUUAAACACCUCCCUGCCUGAAAACACACUGCAGCCAGAAUCCCAGCGAGUUUUUGCAAUGGAAAAAAAGGAAAAUAAAAAUGUCCUGUGGUUUGUUCUGCCUCGUUCUCCUGAUUUUCACGAAAUGGACAAUCAGACCCAUUUCCCUCAUAAAUUACUGCUCCCUCUCACCUAUCUGGGCCCAAAAACUGAGUGAGGAUUGCACCAACUCCUUCUCAAGGACUCCCCUCUCCAGGCCUGUCCCUGCUAGGAAGGACAAGCACAGCCCUGGAUUCCCAAGCAGCUCCCACCAGUUUUUCUUUGGGCUGCCAGGGAUUUCCAAUGUUUGUUAGCAAACUCUGCGAGCCAGAGCCCGGGGAGCCCAACUGAGAGGAAGCAAUUAAUGCUGACUUUUCCAUAGAGGAUGGAUUAUCUGUCAAUAAGUGUCAGCUCUCUGGAGAAAAUGAGAUCCACAAAUAAUCCCAAUUAGGCAGGGAUCAUCCACUGCAGCCCAGGGACAUAAGGGGAGGGAGGUUCCCCUCUCCAGCCCUGGAAACCACCAGGAACCCCUGAAAAACGCCUUGAACACCUGCAGAACCACCUGGGAGAGCUGAGGCUGAACCCCCAGGGCUGUCCCAGCAGCAGCAGGGACAGGUCAGCAGCACCUUCCCUCCUGAAGGUGGUUCUGCAGCUGUCCAAGACAUUUUUCAGGUGUUCCUGGUGGUGUCCGUGGCUGGAGAGGGGGAACCUCCCUCCCCUUCUGUCCCUGGUCCCCAAGGUCCCCACCAGGGACCGGCUGGAAAGGAGAGACAGAGGUCAGGAAGUGCAGCCAGCACCGAGCACAGCCUGCAGAGGAGAACUGAGGGAUCACAGAACCAGCUGGAUCUGGGAUUUGCCACCCUGCUGACACUGGGGAGGAUAUCUCACUGCCCCCCACCAGCUGGAAUUUGGGGGGCUGGAAGGAGGAGCUCAGGUGGGGAGAAGCCCCCACAGCAGUUCAGGCAGGUUCUGGCCAAGCAGAGAUCCCUUUUCCUUGGAGAGCCAGAGAGAAAACCAUGGGUAUUUAUAAGCAGAGCUGUCUCUAAGGCAGCAGUUUCCAGAGUCUAAUAAUAGGGUUUGGGUUGUGUGUGAUUCAGGCAGAGCUGCACAGAGCUCCUGUCCCCAGAGCAGGUUCCCAGGAAGCUGUGAGGGAAGGAGCCAGACCUGGGACUGCUCUGACCCUCUGGAUUCUCACACCUGAGCAGCCCUGGCACAAGGCUCAGGGAAGGGCUGCACCUGCUGCAGAGGGUGCCAGCGGUGUGGAAAAGCCACCUGUCCCCAAAAUCAAGGUGAGACCCCAACCCUGCUGUGCCCUGAGCACCGGGCAGGUCCCAGCCCAGAGCUGGCAGGGUGAAUCACCACCAAGGCCACAACCAGAGCCCUGGAGCUGCUGCCUGCUGACUCAAAGUGUUGGAGCUUCCCCAGCAGCUCCCAGGGGAGGAUGAAAAACAGGAAAGGUCAAAACAGCCUCGACUUUGUGCAAGGGAGAGAACAGGGCUGGGCUGGGCAGCACCUGCACAGGCUGUUCUGAGGCUGGGUCAUUUCAGGGAGCAGCUCCCCACCCUGCUCCUCACCCUGAGCCUUCCCAGGCUGCUCAUUUCUACACACAAUUCCUCUGUGCUCCCUCAGGCUGGACAGGGGUUACACUAAAGCCACAAGGAGGAGCCCAGAGCACUGGGUGGGACACAGGAGCUUCACCCUUGGAGGAGCCUAGAGCACUGAGUGGGACACAGGAGCUUCCCCCUUUCUGUGGAAGGUGUUUGCAGGCUGGGUGAUCUCACCCCAUCAUUCACCCCCCCAGCAGGACUCUGGGCUGGCAGCACAGCGAGGGACAGCACUGCCCUGCUUCCUCCCAGGGACAAACACUCGCUGUGUUCCUCUGGAAAACGCUGAUAACUCCUAAUCAUGGCCAGGUUAUCAGCUCCAGAACAGGAAUCCAAGUGGGAAGAAAGGUGGAGCAGCCACGGUGGUUUCCAGGGGGUGUUUGCUGCCCUGUGCCCACACCAAUCAUGGGCUGAGGCUGGGACAGUGACAGUGACAGCAGCAGCAGCCCAGAGCUGCUGCAAUCACUGCUGGGUGGUGCUCGCUGUGAUUUCAGGCCAGGGGUUAGCAAGGGAAGAGGAAGGAGCAGGGCAAGCUCUGGUUUGGGUUUAGCAGCACCCCAGAGCCCUGUGUGAGCUCUCCUGAGGGCAGAGCUGGGAGGGGGGAGAGGAUGAACACAGACACAGAACCUGGGCUCAGCCCUGCCCUCCCCAGCCACCACUGCAUGAAACCCCCAGAGCCCCACUGCAGCCACCUGGGAAGGUGAGAGCUGCAUCUCCCCAAGGAUGGCACCACUCACACCCCCCCAGAUCUGAAUUUAGAGCCUCAGCUCCCAGCUGCUGCCCCAGGAGUGGGGUACAGUGAAAUCCUCCGUGGCAGGGCACUGGUUGUAGCAUUAAAAAAACCUUAAUGGGAUUCAGAACCUCCUCCUGUUUCUGAGGCUGAUGCUGAUUCAGCCCAGUCCUGCUGCUGAUCCAGCUCCUCCUGCUCUGUCCCAGCAGGAUCAGGUUGGAUCACAGCCCUCCCACCCUGCUGAGAGCUGCACCCACCACCUGAACCAAGACAUGGAUCCCCAAAUCUGCUCCCCAGUCCCCCAGCUCAGGCCAGCCCAACCACAGCCACGGCAAGGAGGAGGUGCAGAACCUCCCCUGUGCUCCAUCCCAAUCCAAAUCCCAAUCCCAAUCCCAAUCCCAAUCCCAUCCCACAGAAUUCCAGGGAUGUGAGUGAAAACAGCUCCCUCCAUCCAGCUGGUGAUGCUGCACAUUUAAAAAUGGAAAUGUAACAAGCACAGCACUGCUCUGAGGCACGUUGGACCCACGUAACACAUCCUGGCUAUUCUGGGAAACAGAACUGAAAAAAAAAAUAAAAAAGGAUUCAUCCUUCUCCUCUCUGGAUGAUUCCAGAAUUUCUAAGAUGCUGAAGUCUAGAAGUCAAAGGAUCUUGAAAAAAACAUUAUAAAUAGCAAACAAACACUUGGCUUCACAGAUAACACAAACACUGAUCCCAUUAAACACAUAAUUGUCCCAGUUUGGUUCUUUCUUCCCAAAAGUGGAGGUUUAGCCCUGGAAAUGUCUCCUGGACAGAGCAGCUUUGGCUGUUCCUCUGUGGUGCUCCAUGGUUCACUCCUGGAGAUUCCGUGCAUUCCAGUUCAUUGUCAGCCAGGUGUUCUUCCUCCUUCACCCCUUGGAAAAUUCCUAAGCUUUGUUACCUGAAAAAAACUUCCCUGGGUGAAAGACAGCAGGUGAGGAGAGCAGAGGGGUGGGUGGGGGAGAGACAGAGAGAAUUUCAGCUGGAUUUUCCCACAUUUGCAGCCUGGAGCAGAACCUCAGGGUGCCACCCUGGUUUAUUUUCCAUUUUUCUCUCCUCUGGUGUAAGUGGGAACACAGGCAGCAGCAGGGAUAACCCAUCUUAUCUUCCAUUUUAUUUUCCAUUUUUCUCUUCUCUGGUGUAAGAGGGCCAUUUUAUUUUCCAUUUUUCUCUUCUCUGCCAUGAGAGGGGACACGGGGAGCAGCAGGG